GCUGCAGUGUUAGCUCAGUUGGUAGAGCAUGAAACUCUUUAUCUCAGGGUUGUGGGUUUGAGCCCCACAUUGGGUG